AAUUCAUUCUUUCAGCCGUUUCUCUCUACCUGUCUCUCUCUCUCUCUAGACUUCCAAUUUCAGCAAUUUCACCUUCAAAUCAACCAGCAAUCUCGAUUCAAACAACAACAAAUGGAUUCGAAACAAUCAUCUUCGAAAGAUAAGGAUGCAGCGGUAGCGGUUAGUUCUCCACGUCUACGACCGGUAGUCCUGUAACAGAGGUUGAAAACGUUGGCUAAAAGCUAUGAAGGCUGUUUACAAGAAUCAUCAGAUUCUUCCGAUUUCAGGCAUGCACCAGUGUUGUUCGUUGUCAGUUUAUCUACCCAGCUCAUCAUGGUAUGGUACUGAUGAUCGGGAAUUGAAGACAAAAGUAUCGUACGUUACAAAGUUUCGUAUGCUUUUAACAGACUCAUCAUCACCAAGGCUUAAAUUAAAUUGAGUCUGGAUCAUUUUUUCAGUGUACAAUAUAGGGUAGUAGAUGAACAUAAUACAUGGAAAAUUGACAUUAUGAUAUGUUUUUGUUAUACAAUUAGCUUCCUGCGGAUGUUGGGUAGUAUAUGUAAGUCACUGCACAAUAACCAUCAUACUUGCUAAAAUUCAAAUGAACAUUCGAGCAUUAUGCUAGACUGACCAAUCUUGGGCAAUCUGCAGCAGGUGUUUAGAAAAGAAACUACAAGUAUGAUGCUUAUGAUGACUUUUGCUUUAGCGAACUUGAUCUCCUUUUAUCCGCUUUAGCAAGAGGUGAAUAAGCUGGUGAAAGAUGAUAGUGGUUGUAUGUUGUUUCAUGGAAGUGGUUGUAUGCUGUUUCAUCUGGGGAUUCAUAUGAUAUGAUGCUUUUCUGAUUUCAAUAGCUUUUGGAGGUUAAACAAUCAGUUAAUUUAAAAUAUACAAUCAGUUAACUUACGGAUUUAAGGUGUGUGAUGUCUUUGAUUUUUUCAUUUUCUUAUUUAGGGUUUCGAAUUGCAUAUGGAGUUGAAGACUAAUUCCACUGUGUUUGUAAUUGCAACCACCGGCCAACCUUUUAGGUAAUUUUGGAUUCUUUAUUUUGUUCUUAGGUUUAAUGAAGUAUUUAGGAAUCAGACUGAAGAUGUAGUGACUUUUAAUAUCAAAAUUAUGAUCAUCUGUCAUUGAUUUCCUCUAAUUUUAGUUAUAUGCUUUCAAAAGUUAGUUGUUCACGGGUGGUUGUUUAGAUCUUAUGAUCGGGUUUAACGUAGAUGGCAGUAUAUUAAUUAAAUUUGCUUUCUCAUUUUGUUAUACCCAACUGAUUGUUUCAAAGCAUGAACAAGUGUUGUGAUUAGGUACUACAAUCACAAUUUUGAGGACCAUUAUAACAGCUACAUGGCUGGUUGUGGUAAUCUUCUUAGCAACCUCUUCCCACAUUGUAGAAUUUGUAAUGUGUAAUGAUUGCAGCAACAAAUACAUGAAUUAGGGUCUUAGUUAACAUUUUUUUAACAACAAAGAUUAUACUAUAUUACUCCUCACCCCAAGAAUUGAAAUUGGGUCACUCCACAAGAGGAAAACCAUCUUGACCACUAGGCCACAUGCCUAAGUUACCUUAGUUAACAAUUGCAUUGCUAAUACGGUGCCUUUUAAAUGCAGUUUUGAUGCUAAUUUCACCCAUGUCUGUAGAGCUUUAGAAAGGGCAUUUACAAAAACCUUUAGGAGCUCUAAAGAUUCUAUACAUUGGAAUACUCUUGGGAUGACUGUUGACCCAUUUGGCCCGUUAAGAGAUAAUGCAAAGUUCCAUGAGAUAUAUUGUAAAAUUCUAAAUUUUUAUCUUUGAUUUCGUCAUUUUCAUACUGCUAACUUUUUUUAUUUUUGUCUGUAGUUAUUGCUCAUUCGAAAUAGAAUAACCAUAAUAAGUUUAUUAUAUUUGCUUCGAUUGCUUAGUACAGAUUCGAGGUCAAUUGGCAGUAUGUUGAAGUUUUAUUUAUAUUAAUUGUUUUAUUUCUUGGUUCAAUUUGGUUACCAACAACAGCUGGUUCUUGGAAUGACGUCUGAUGGCGGUCAUAUGCCUUUUAGAAACUCUCUUGAUGGAAAUUUAGAUGUGGAGCCUUUGUUAUGCACAUAUUAUUGGCCCAUAGCAUGGCAGCCAAACUAUAUCAUCAUUAUUUCCAAGCAAUUAACCAACUCAAAGUCAAUUUUUAAGUUUUAGUUGAACAUUUUAAAUUUGGUAAGUUGACUUAUUGGGUGGUAUGUGCAGCCUACACAAGGUGGCUCAAUUGGACUAACUGUUUACGCUUACAUGUAUCAACCGCUAACAGAUAGUGAAGUUGAUUGUUUGUAAAGGGGCCGAAGCAAAGGUUUUUAAAUGAGCUUAUCUAAUGCAGGUCUGUUGAAUAUGGACAAAGAUUAAAGUUGCAUCUUGAUUAUUCGAGAAUGCCUAUAAAUAAAAAAAGACACAUCACAUGGCAGAAGAGCCAACAGUGGUGGUGGUUUGGAGUGUGUUCAUGCAUAAUUUUUGCUACAAGAUCACCUCAUGGCCCUUGCCCUAUUGCUCUUACGGUUGCUAAAGGGCUGGCAUUGGAUAUUCCGAAAUAUUUAUCAACUUUAUUGAUGUUAAAGUAGAAGAACAGAGACAGAAAUCUUUGGAUUUGAUAAAUAACACGAAGAACAUGUCUUAAUCUUCAUACUUCAAAGGACGCUAUGAUAAACAAUGAUGGGAUGCUCUAUAUAUCCAACUGUUUCAACUUGCACUGCCAGCAGUAGCUAACUCCGCUUGCUGGUUGGAUAUAUAAUCCGCUAACUAUAUAUCAUCUAAUGGUUUUUGGUAGUGCAAUUGGUCUCGGUAGUUCGUCUAUUUCAGGUAAUCUAAAUAAUUGUCUAUGCCAUUUUCCUGUUGACCCGUUUGGCUUUUUUAUUCAUUCGCGGUUGCUUUGAAGUAUCCAAGAACUCCAACAAAUCCUUCUUUUGAUUACUCAUUGUUGAUUCUGAUAAUAUAAGCUACAUAACAAGGAUCAUGGGAAUAAUUGAUGUGGUUAUUCCAUUUUAUUUUAUUGCUACAAGUUAUAACACCACUUAUUAGAGUUAACUUUGAUGUAUUUCUUGCUAAAAAAUCAGGCUGGUCACAAUCAAACCUUAAUGCUUCUAAUGACUUGCCAAAUUCGUUGGUCACUUAUUGUUUUACGACAAAUGUAUAGGCUAUUCACGGCCGGCCCUGAGGGUGGGCGACCCGCACCCCCGACCGAGGCCCGUUUUUCUUGAGGGCUUUUAUACCCUUGGUACCCGGUUCGAUUCUUGGCAUUUUCUUAAUUUUUUAGUUUUUCGUAGUGUAUUUUGUAAGUACGAUUUAUUUCUAAAACAAGGGCCAACUGAUGUGUUGAUUCAUUGGUUUAGCAAUUACUUUUACAUUUACUGGUCUAAUUGUGGUUGAGUUUGGCUGCUACCAGUAUUCAAGGGCAAAAUGAAGUUUACUGAUGGAAUGUGUCGAUGCUUAACCUAAGGAGCUUCAGCAAAGUAAACAAAAGCGUAGUGAGGGUGGCAAAUGAAAAUGUUCAAGGGCUUAUGACCCAUUUGGCAUGUUCAGUAACAGUAUUCAUUUGAUCCAGAGCAUAUUCGAAAUGGCACAAGAAAAAGGGGUAGAACCGGUCAAAUGGGGUAAUAAAUAUCAUCCAAAGUGUAUUAAAAAAUUUUCAAAUGCAUAAAAGCCUUAACAACCAAUUCAUUAAAAAAAUUACAGAUUAUGGUUUAUAAUAAUAUAGAUUUGCAAUCACAAUUAGCACAUUAAUUAUUUGGAUAAUUAAAAAAGGAAUGAUAUGCAAAGUGAUGUGGGUUGGCCCCACCAACCCAUUUUGACCCAUUAUUCAAUCUACGACACCUACCCAUUUUUCGACCUCUACAUGGUUUAAUCAGUAAAGAUGUAAGUUACUUGGUGAAAGAUAUAUGUAUGCAGAUUUUCAAUUAGGUGUGGCUCCUGGUUUUGUUAGUUAAGGAAGGCGUAGUUGAUUGGCUUCACGGGGUAAAUAACUGGUCAACCGGAGUACAAUCAGAGGUGUUGACAAUAGUGAUGUUUGCGGCUAUGUGGAGAGCUUGGUUGGCCAAGAACAAAAAAAUUGUUUAAUGGCAGGGCGACUUCAUUACACCAGCCGGUAGACAAGGUCAAAGAGUUGCUUUUCUUAUGGAGAUGUGUAAUUUUGUUAGUUGAGUCGUGCUUUCUUCAUGUAACAUUAGUGUGGGGUUUUUUGUUUCCCCCUUUGUCGUAAUGGGUUCUUCUAUGCAUCUUCAUGUUUUAUUGGUUUUAAUAUAUUUACCUUGCCUUAAAAAAUAAAAUUUAUGGGCCAUGCCAUGUUAU